CAUGUAGGCGGUUACAUAAGUCUGAUCUGAAAGCGUGCAGCUUAACUGCAUUGUUGGGUUGGAAACUGUGUGACUAGAAUCCGAGAGGGGUAAGUGGAAUUCCUAGUGUAGGGGUGAAAUCUGUUGAUAUUAGGAAGAACACCAGAGGCGAAGGCGACUUGCUGGCUCUGGAUUGACGCUGAGGUGCGAAAGCGUAGGUAGCGAACA
rnacentral:rRNA from 1 species